rnacentral:rRNA from 1 species
AGUGAACGCUGGCGGUAGGCCUAACACAUGCAAGUCGAACGGCAGCACAGUAAGAGCUUGCUCUUACGGGUGGCGAGUGGCGGACGGGUGAGGAAUACAUCGGAAUCUACUUUUUCGUGGGGGAUAACGUAGGGAAACUUACGCUAAUACCGCAUACGACCUACGGGUGAAAGCAGGGGAUCUUCGGACCUUGCGCGAUUGAAUGAGCCGAUGUCGGAUUAGCUAGUUGGCGGGGUAAAGGCCCACCAAGGCGACGAUCCGUAGCUGGUCUGAGAGGAUGAUCAGCCACACUGGAACUGAGACACGGUCCAGACUCCUACGGGAGGCAGCAGUGGGGAAUAUUGGACAAAGGGCGCAAGCCUGAUCCAGCCAUACCGCGUGGGUGAAAAAGGCCUUCGGGUUGUAAAGCCCUUUUGUUGGGAAAGAAAAGCAGCAGGUUAAUACCCCGCUGUUCUGACGGUACCCAAAGAAUAAGCACCGGCUAACUUCGUG